rnacentral:rRNA from 1 species
UAAUACGUAGGUGGCAAGCGUUGUCCGGAAUUAUUGGGCGUAAAGCGCGCGCAGGCGGCUUCUUAAGUCUGAUGUGAAAUCUUGCGGCUCAACCGCAAGCGGUCAUUGGAAACUGGGAGGCUUGAGUGCAGAAGAGGAGAGUGGAAUUCCACGUGUAGCGGUGAAAUGCGUAGAGAUGUGGAGGAACACCAGUGGCGAAGGCGGCUCUCUGGUCUGUAACUGACGCUGAGGCGCGAAAGCGUGGGGAGCAAACAGGAUUAGAUACCCUGGUAGUCCACGCCGUAAACGAUGAGUGCUAAGUGUUAGAGGGUUUCCACCCUUUAGUGCUGCAGCUAACGCAUUAAGCACUCCGCCUGGGGAGUACGGCCGCAAGGCUGAA